GGAUGUUUGACAGAACACCUUUGAGGGAGGGAACACGGUUUUCUGGUUUCAUGGUUAGUAGAACAGAUGGACCGAAGGGCAGGUCCAGCCCUGCUUCAAAAAUGGACUCCAGCACUCUUGGGUACAAUUUAGAAUGCAGCCUUUCAGAUAGAUGGUGAGGCCAGAUGCAGGAAGCUUGCCAGAGUCCAGGUGCACAAAGAUCACAAUUGUGAAUUUCACCUCAGUUCUGUUGAUGGCUGACUUUGAUGGAGAAGUGAGAUUUUCCACCUAUUCUUCGAAUCUAGAUUCUCUUGUUUCAGGUAAGUGGGAAGAAUCUCCCUGUCAAUGGUUUUUUUUUUUUUUUUUUUUCUCCUGAGAAAAUGAUAUACUCAGGAAGAAUCAACAUCAUAUUUUGGAUGGCCAUUGCUUGAAUACUUACCCUCUUUUAUU
rnacentral:lncRNA from 1 species